rnacentral:rRNA from 1 species
AACGAACGCUGGCGGCAUGCCUAACACAUGCAAGUCGAACGAGACCUUCGGGUCUAGUGGCGCACGGGUGCGUAACGCGUGGGAACCUGCCCUUAGGUUCGGAAUAACUCCCCGAAAGGGGUGCUAAUACCGGAUAAUGUCUUCGGACCAAAGAUUUAUCGCCUUUGGAUGGGCCCGCGUUGGAUUAGCUAGUCGGUAGGGUAAAAGCCUACCAAGGCGACGAUCCAUAGCUGGUCUGAGAGGAUGAUCAACCACACUGGGACUGAGACACGGCCCAGACUCCUACGGGAGGCAGCAGUGGGGAAUAUUGGACAAUGGGCGAAAGCCUGAUCCAGCAAUGCCGCGUGAGUGAUGAAGGCCUUAGGGUUGUAAAGCUCUUUUACCCGGGAUGAUAAUGACAGUACCGGGAGAAUAAGCUCCGGCUAACUCCGUG